rnacentral:rRNA from 1 species
CGGAGCUAACGCGUUAAGUCGACCGCCUGGGGAGUACGGCCGCAAGGUUAAAACUCAAAUGAAUUGACGGGGGCCCGCACAAGCGGUGGAGCAUGUGGUUUAAUUCGAUGCAACGCGAAGAACCUUACCUACUCUUGACAUCCACGGAAUUUGGCAGAGAUGCCUUAGUGCCUUCGGGAACCGUGAGACAGGUGCUGCAUGGCUGUCGUCAGCUCGUGUUGUGAAAUGUUGGGUUAAGUCCCGCAACGAGCGCAACCCUUAUCCUUUGUUGCCAGCGAUUCGGUCGGGAACUCAAAGGAGACUGCCGGUGAUAAACCGGAGGAAGGUGGGGAUGACGUCAAGUCAUCAUGGCCCUUACGAGUAGGGCUACACACGUGCUACAAUGGCGCAUACAAAGAGAAGCGACCUCGCGAGAGCAAGCGGACCUCACAAAGUGCGUCGUAGUCCGGAUCGGAGUCUGCAACUCGACUCCGUGAAGUCGGAAUCGCUAGUAAUCGUGGAUCAGAAUGCCACGGUGAAUACGUUCCCGGGCCUUGUACACACCGCCCGUCACACCAUGGGAGUGGGUUGCAAAAGAAGUAGGUAGCUUAACCUUCGGGAGGGCGCUUACCA